GCGGAUGUAGCUCAGCUGGUAGAGCGCAACCUUGCCAAGGUUGAGGUUCGGCGGGUCCCGACGAAGCACAGCUUGUCGGGAUGCAGACAGGCAAAGCCUGGUCUGCAUUCGAAUCUCGUCAUCCGCU
rnacentral:tRNA from 1 species